rnacentral:lncRNA from 1 species
CCAUCUGCAGUGUCUCCUGUUUCAGCACCUCUGAACAUUGCAGGACAUCCGCAUAUGAUGAAGGGGUCUGCAAAAACGCCAAAAACCAAGAUAAGUUCCUCAUCAACGUAACAGCACCAGGGAGCUUGUGUGUCAACUGUAAUGAACCAUUCAGAAAUAUAUAUUAAAGAGAAAUGCUGUGUUUGUUUUUUUUUACAUAUCUUCUUAGACGCCAAAAACCAAGAUAAGUUCCUCAUCAACGUAACAGCACCAGGGAGCGUGUGUGUCAACUGUAAUGAACCAUUCAAAGACCCUGUGGGAAAGUUGCCUCCUCCAGCGAUCUUUGACACGGGAAGUGGAGUUCACAUCGAUGGUGAAAAGGCUUCGAAGGCCAUGAAAGAUAUCGCCUCUCUGGUCAAUAUGAUGAAUGAGUCCUCAGCUUCUGUGUCGAUGGGCUCGGUCACUGGGGUCGUAGUGAAGCCCAAAGAGAAGACCGACAUCGAGGAAGUCUCCUUUGGGUACUCUUCCAACUCCAACAUUAAGAUUGUUGAAGAUCGGAAGUCUCUGGAUGGCUUCUCUAGGUCUGUAUCCAUCACAAAGGAAGCAUUUGAAAAGGCCUACAACUUAAGCAACGGCAGUGCAUUUGCCGGUGUUUUCCGAUUCCCCAACAUGUCCAAGGAUGUAAACAACAGCACAGUUCUGCAUAACGAAGUGGUAGCGAUCGAGAUGGGCUGUAUCAUUAACAAUUUAACCGACAAGAUAAAUCUUAAUUUUCUAAACGUCCAUAAGGUAAAUGAUGAUGCGCUUUACUAA